rnacentral:rRNA from 1 species
GACGUAGGGCGCGAGCGUUUGUCCGGAUUUAUUGGGCGUAAAGAGCUCGUAGGCGGCUUGUCGCGUCGAAUGUGAAAUCUCAGGGCUCAACUCUGACAUUGCAUUCGAUACGGGCAGGCUAGAGUUCGGUAGGGGAGACUGGAAUUCCUGGUGUAGCGGUGAAAUGCGCAGAUAUCAGGAGGAACACCGGUGGCGAAGGCGGGUCUCUGGGCCGAUACUGACGCUGAGGAGCGAAAGCGUGGGGAGCGAACAGG